rnacentral:lncRNA from 1 species
AAGUCGGUUCGGCGAUUGGUCGAGCCUACGCAAGGAUAUUAAAGAAAAUGAUGUUUUGGCUUCGUUUCCGCCUGGAGGGCCGAGGCGACGUCCAAAAAUCACGAGAACAGAUCCGGAGCAUUGUGGGAUCAAGUUAUAGAUCGAACAAUUUUCGGAUUGGGGAUUGGUGGCCGUUGGGUGGUCGAGUGCGAGUUCGGGCCGAACCGAGCAACGGGUGCCGCGAGAGGCCGAUUGCAAGUGACUACAAGCAAUCGAAAAGCGAUUUGAGGUGGGUUGUGCUUACCGAAGCGACUAGGUCGCCUCCAUGUCAAAGUAGAGUAUGGAUUCUUGUUGAUGCAUAUGUAUGUGCCAGAUGGAAAUAUAGGCAUGUUAGCAUUAUGUAAAUACAUGCUAGUUGAUAACUGUAUAUUAAUGCACUGAAACUACAUGCUAAAUGAUGGUUGCAUAAUGACAUAGACUAGAAAUGCUAAAUGAAGUGCAUGAUUGCAUGUUAAUAUAUAUGCAUAGUGGAAUAAAUGCUAGGUGCAUUUUAGAGCUAUGAGAUCGUGCUAGAAAGAACAUACAUAUUGACAUUGUAAGCAUGUGCAUGAGAAUAUGUAGCUAUAAACCUCGAUGUGGACACUUAGGAUGUUAAGUAGAUCGAGUGGCAUUAACCUAGUGUCAAUGAGCAUAGGUUUGAUAUUAACCUAGUGUUGUGAACCUAGGAUGGAUUGGUGUGGCAUUUAACCUAGUGACAUUGAACAUAGGUUGAGAAUGAAACCUAGAGUUAAACAAAUCUAGGUGAGUGGCAUUGAACCUAG